UUUCAAGUGGGCAACCUAAAGGGGAAAUUACUCUUUUAAUAGAAGGUAAGGCGGAUUCUCCUUCUAAGGCCCCAUCUGAGGAUGAACUCGAGCAUGAACUGAGAGAUUUGAUAUCGAAGGGUCAUAGUAUUUCAACGAGGGAACAGCAGUGAAAAGAAAAGAUGUAUAUGCCCUUGCAUUAAGGUUAUUCGCAAAACCUGAUGAAACUGAGGAAUCUUCAAAUAGUUGAAACUCUGGCUGGUCUGGGCGAGAACCACAUGUUUAACUAAUCAGUUUUAGUGACCAUUUCUUUGCCUUUGAAGUAAAUUUGAAGCCUUUCUCAUCAAAUCAAAGCUGCUAUGGUCUCAAGGAGCACAAUGAAGAAGGCUAUGUUGAAAUUUGGAUAGGCAAUUAAGUUUUUUGAAUAUGUUGUAUAAGUCUAGAGUAAUAAAAUAGGAUAUUUUCUCUCAUGACAGUAAUGACAGGAAUUUUAUUACUAUGCACAGUUAAUAUUUUGAUGUCAUAAGAUGCUAUGCUAUGUUUUUUUU